rnacentral:rRNA from 1 species
UACGUAGGGGGCGAGCGUUGUCCGGAUUUAUUGGGCGUAAAGAGCUCGUAGGCGGUUUGGUAAGUCGGGUGUGAAAACCCCAGGCUCAACCUGGGGACGCCACCUGAUACUGCUAUGACUUGAGUCUGGUAGGGGGAUCACGGAAUUCCUGGUGUAGCGGUGGAAUGCGCAGAUAUCGAGGAGGAACACCGAUGGCGAAG